AUUGAACGCUGGCGGCAGGCCUAACACAUGCAAGUCGAGCGGAUGAAGGGAGCUUGCUCCUGGAGUCAGCGGCGGGCGGGUGUGUAAUACCUAGGAAUCUGCCUGGUAGGGGGGGAUAACGUCCGGAAACGGGCGCUAAUACCACAUGCGUCCUGAGGGAGAAAGGGGGGGGUCUUCGGACCGCACGCUAUCAGAUGAGCCUAGGUCGGAUUAGCUAGUUGGUGGGGUAAAGGCCUACCAAGGCGACGAUCCGUAACUGGUCUGAGAGGAUGAUCAGUCACACUGGAACUGAGACACGGUCCAGACUCCUACGGGAGGCAGCAGUGGGGAAUAUUGGACAAUGGGCGCAAGCCUGAUCCAGCCAUGCCGCGUGUGUGAAGAAGGUCUUCGGAUUGUAAAGCACUUUUAGUUGGGAGGAAGCGCAGUAAGUUAAUACCUUGCUGUUUUGACGGUACCAACAGAAUAAGCACCGGCUAACUACGUG
rnacentral:rRNA from 1 species